GUCAGGAUGGCCGAGCGGUCUAAGGCGCCAGACUCAAGGUGUUGAAAUCUUGCUUUCUGAACGGAAGUGUUGAGCGUUCUGGUCCUCUCUGAGGGCGUGGGUUCGAAUCCCACUUCUGACA
rfam:Drosophila pseudoobscura pseudoobscura strain MV2-25 chromosome 3, whole genome shotgun sequence.